AUUGAACGCUGGCGGCACGCCUAACACAUGCAAGUCGAGCGGCAGCAUGCUUAGUAGCAAUACUAAGUGAUGGCGAGCGGCGGACGGGUGAGGAACACGUAGGAACCUGCCCAAGAGAGGGGGAUAACUAAGGGAAACUUUAGCUAAUACCGCAUAAUCUCUGAGGAGAAAAGUUGCCCGCAAGGGUAGCGCUUUUGGAGGGGCCUGCGUCCGAUUAGUUAGUUGGUGAGGUAAUGGCUCACCAAGACGAUGAUCGGUAACUGGUCUGAGAGGACGACCAGUCACACUGGGACUGAGACACGGCCCAGACUCCUACGGGAGGCAGCAGUGGGGAAUCUUGGACAAUGGGGCAACCCUGAUCCAGCGAUGCCGCGUGGGUGAAGAAGGCCUUCGGGUUGUAAAGCCCUUUAGGCUGGGAAGAAGAGUGCGGGGUGAAUAAUCCUGUACUUUGACGGUACCAGCAGAAUAAGCACCGGCAAACUCUGUGCCAGCAGCCGCAGUAA
rnacentral:rRNA from 1 species